UACGUAGGGGGCAAGCGUUGUUCGGAAUUACUGGGCGUAAAGGGCGCGUAGGCGGCAUGGCAAGUCGGGAGUGAAAGGCCUGGGCUCAACCGAGGAACUGCUUUCGAGACUGCCAAGCUAGAGCGCGGAAGGGGCAUCUGGAAUUCCCAGUGUAGCGGUGAAAUGCGUAGAUAUUGGGAAGAACACCUGAGGCGAAGGCGGCUCACUGGCCCGAUACUGACGCUGAGGCACGAAAGCGUGGGGAGCAAACAGG
rnacentral:rRNA from 1 species